AUGGGAUCAGCAGACUUUACAGAAAGCGAUGUUUUAAUUAGAGAUUCUCUGCAAACACCGCCAGGCAACAUCUUCUCCCUUCAUUAUCUCCCCUUAAAGGGCUGCUGCUGCUUUUCAGGUCGGAGUCACUCCCGAGCCUCUCCUGCUCCGGGUGAUGCCCCAGUUCACCUUCGCCUGCUUCUGUGGCCUCCACGGCUUCUGCAAGAUGAAGAGGAAGAAGGAACAGGCCAGCGGGGGGCAGGAGACGGCCGUGUGAGGAUCAGCCCCCGCCCGGGACCCCCUCCUGUCCCCUCGAUUCUCUCCCGCAUCCCGUGGAUUCUCUCCUCAUUUCCCGUCCCUCCCUGUCCCCAGGAAGCCGGGGAAGAGCCGAAGUGUCCCUGCCCACGAUGUCCCUGCCCGUCCCGCUGCGAGCGAGAAUUCCCCCCCUGCUCCAGCAAUUCCCAGCAGAGAAACCGGGAAAAGCUCCAAAAUCCGGGCCAAGCCUCGUCCUUGCCGGAAUCCAGAGCUGGGCAGCGCCUCUGGCACGGCCAGAAGCAGCCGGACCUGAGCGCUGCUGGAGCAGAUGAAUCCCGCUGAUGGCAGUGGGAAUGAGGCGUCUAUCCAAGGAAAAUUCCAAGGGUUUUCCGUCCUCUGGAGCGGGAGGCGAGCGGUGAAGCCGAAGCCGGAGCCGUGUUCUGGCUGCUCCCGGAUUUC
ensembl:lncRNA